rnacentral:piRNA from 1 species
UCAGUGUCACCCAGAAAGCCUUAGAG